UACGAAGGGGGCUAGCGUUGUUCGGAAUUACUGGGCGUAAAGGGCGCGUAGGCGGCCUGCUAAGUCGAACGUGAAAUCCCUGGGCUCAACCCAGGAACUGCGUCCGAUACUGGUUGGCUUGAAUCCGGGAGAGGGACGUGGAAUUCCAGGUGUAGCGGUGAAAUGCGUAGAUAUCUGGAGGAACACCGGUGGCGAAGGCGACGUCCUGGACCGGCAUUGACGCUGAGGCGCGAAAGCCAGGGGAGCAAAGCGGG
rnacentral:rRNA from 1 species